AAACCAACCAGGGAUUGCCUUAGUAACGGCGAGUGAAGCGGCAAAAGCUCAAAUUUGAAAUCGGCCCCCAGGUCGAGUUGUAAUUUGUAGAUUGUAUCUUGAGAGCGGAUUAAAGUCUGUUGGAACACAGCGCCUUAGAGGGUGACAGCCCCGUAAAAUCUAUUCUCAUUGUAAGAUACUUUCGAAGAGUCGAGUUGUUUGGGAAUGCAGCUCUAAGUGGGAGGUAAAUUCCUUCUAAAGCUAAAUAUUGACGAGAGACCGAUAGCGAACAAGUACUGUGAAGGAAAGAUGAAAAGCACUUUGAAAAGAGAGUGAAAAAGUACGUGAAAUUGUUAAAAGGGAAGGGUAUUGAAUCAGACUUGGUGCUGUUGUUCAACUGUGUUUCGGCAUAGUGUACUCAGCAGUACUAGGCCAAGGUGGGGUGUUUGGGAGUGAAAAAGAAGUUGGAAGGUAACUCUUCGGAGUGUUAUAGCCUACUUUCAUAGCUCCUCAGGCGCCUCAGGACUGCGCUUCGGCAAGGACCUUGGCAUAAUGAUUCUAUACCGCCCGUCUU
rnacentral:rRNA from 1 species